CCUACGUGAGGCAGCAGUGAGGAAUAUUGGUCAAUGGGCGCGAGCCUGAACCAGCCAAGUAGCGUGAAGGAUGACUGCCCUACGGGUUGUAAACUUCUAUUAUAAAGGAAUACAGUGAGGCACGUGUGCCUUUUUGUAUGUACUUUAUGAAUAAGGAUCGGCUAACUCCGUGCCAGCAGCCGCGGUAAUACGUAGGAUCCGAGCGUUACUCGGAUUUAUUGGGUUGAAAGGGAGCGUAGAUGGGUUGUUAAGUCAGUUGUGAAAGGUUGCGGCUCAACCGUAAAAUUGCAAUUGAUACUGGCAGUCUUGAGUACAGUAGAGGUAGGUAGAAUUCGUGGUGUAGCGGUGAAAUGCGUAGAGAUCUGGAAGAACACCGAUUGCGAAGGCAGCUUACUAAACAGCCACUGACAUUGAGGCGCGAAAGUGUGGGGAGCAAACAGGAUUAGAUACCCCUGUAGUC
rnacentral:rRNA from 1 species